rnacentral:lncRNA from 1 species
UCUCUCUGGAACUCAACCCACUCUGAGCACAGCAACCUCCCAUUCACUUCCGUCACCCAAAUCCCAACUCUCUCUCUCUCUCUCUAUAUCUCUCAUCUCUCUCUGCGCGCCCAAUUUGUCAAGCUGGUUUUGUAUGCAAACUGAAGUACCUCUGGCAAAAUCAGCUCUGGUUAGAGUUUCGGGAUCAGGUUUUACUUCUUUGACCUAUGUUAUCUUAGAUUCCAUUGUGUUUACUAGGGAACUUCAAACAUGAUUAGUUCUUGUAUUCAGUAGCUUCCUGUUUAAUUGUCCCACUGAUUUUGCGUCGAAAUUUACUGCUUAAGGUUGUACAAUUCAUGUUUUGCUAUCCAGUUACACUCAGAAAAUUGGAUAAACUUUUAUGAAGAUAUUAGUGAUCUGAAAUGCUUUGGUAUUGGUUUUCUGUGUGAUUCCCUUCCACUUGACGGCAUGUUACUGUCAUGGAAAUUUUGGACUCAUGUAAUGACUAAUGAGAUCGACACUAUAAAAUGGAAUUAACUUCCAACCAUGAAUAAUCGAUCAAAGAGGAAAGUUUGGUUAGCUGGUCUUGGAAUGGUAGAUGUAUAAUUGAACUUUUAAGCUUUUUUCUUUUUCUGCUAUCUUUUACAGGGUUUGAUUUUGUUUGAUAAGAUCCCUGGAAGUUGUUUCAUCACCAUUGUUGGGUAAACUAUGUCUCGUUCGGUUGAAUUUGAAUAAAAAGUACUUUACGUAUUUGCUGAAAGUGUAAUAUAAAUGGCCAAGCACAAUCUUUUCAAUAAACCGGUGAUAAGUGAUUGUGUAUUGUUUUGAAUUCAUGAACGACCUACGGUUUUCUUUGGAAUGAUUGCCAUAAUGGCAUAAUGUGAAUGGAUAGCUUAACCAACCAACAUGACCAAAUUGGUUCGAGUUCAAGUAUGAAGACAGAAUUGAGCAAGUAUUUGGAUGAAGUAAGGCUAGAAAGAAAGUAAGAGUUGGAUGUACUUUCUUGGUGGAAAAUGGAGCAAAUUCGAUAUCCUAUUCUUUUUCAUCUAGCUCGUGAUGUGCUCACAAUUCCCAUUUCUACCGUUGCAUCUGAAUCGGCCUUUAGCAUUGGCGGGAGAGUUUUAGAUUAAUACCGCAGCUCACUGUUGCCUGACACAGUUCAAGCUCUGCUUUGUACUCGAGAUUGGAUUUUUGGUAACAAAGAAAAAGAGCGCGCUGAAUUGAAGGAUCUUACUGAAGACGUAUUUGAUUUGACAUUGCAAGAUAGAUCUGGAGAAGGAGAAAGCCGCAAUUAAGAUGACUUAGACGUAUUUU